rnacentral:tRNA from 1 species
GGGGAUUUAGCUCAGUGGCAUAAGCACCUGCCUUGCAAGCAUGAGGUCGUGAGUUCAAUUCCCG